AGAGUUCGAUCCUGGCUAGGAUGAACGCUGGCGGCACUGCUUAACACAUGCAAGUGGACGGGAAGUGGUCGUUUCCAGUGGCGGACGGGUGAUAACGUGUAAGAACCUGCCCUUGGAAGGGGAACAACAGCUGGAAACGGCUGCUAAUUACCCGUAGGCUGAGGAGCAAAGAGGAGGAAUCCGCCCGAGGAGGGGCUCUGCGUUGAUUAGCUAGUUGGCUGAGGCAAUAGCGUUACCAAGGCGAUGAUCAGUAGCUGGCCGGGAGGAUGAUCAGGCACACUGGGGCUGAGACACGGCCCAGACUCCUACUAGGAGGCAGCAGUGGGGAAAUUUUCGCAAUGGGCGAAAGCCCGACGGAGCAAUGCCGCGUAGAAGGUAGAAGGCCUACGGGUCCUGGACUUCUUUUCCCAGAGAACAAGCAAUGACGGUAUCUGGGGAAUAAGCAUCAGGCUAACUCUGUGCCAGCAGACCGCGGUAAUACAGAGGAUGCAAGCGUUAUUCCGGAAUGAUUAGGCGUAAAGCGUCUUGUAGGUGGCUUCUCUUUAAGCCACUCCUCGCUCGGGUCAAUCCUCAGGUGUCAAUGCUCGACAGGCCGGUGGUAACUAGCCACAGCUUGCCAGUACGGUAUGGGGCAGAGGGAAUUUCCGGUGGCCCCGGGUGAAAUGCGUAGGAGAUCCGGAAAGAACACAAUCGGGCGAAAGCACUUCUGCUGGGCCGGAACACUCGACACUGAGAGAUACGAAAGCCUAGGGGAGCCGACAUGGGCAUUAGCAUACUUCCCCAGUAUGUCUAGUCGUAGGAACGAUCGGAUCCCUUGGCGCUGUUGCUGUAUCGACACCGUGCAGUGCUGUCGCUAAAUUCGCGUUAAUAUCCGCCUGGAGUUAGUGACGUUCGCAAAACAAAUAAUGAAAUUCAAAGGAAUUGACGGGGGGCCGCACAAGCGGUGGAGCAUUGUGGUUUAAUUCGAUGCAAAGCGAAGAACCUUACCAGGGUUGACAUGCCGCGAAUCCUCUUGAAAGAGAGGGGUGCCUUCGGGAACGCGGACACAGGUGGUGAUGGCUGUCGUCAGCUCUGUGCCGUAAGGUGUUGGGUUUAGUCCUCGCAACGAGCGCAACCCUCGUGUUGUUAGUUGCCACCGUUGAGUUUGGAACCCUGAACAGACUGCCGGUGAGAGCCGGAGGAAGGUGAGGAUGACGUCAAGUCGAUCAUGCCCCUUAUGCCCUGGGCGUACACACGUGCUACAAUGGCCGUGAGCAAAGGGUCGCGAUCCCGCGAGGUGAGCUAACUCCAAAAAGCCCGUCUCAGUUUCAGGAUUGCAGGCUGAACUCGCCUGCAUGAAGCCAGGAAUCGCUAGUAAUGCGCCGGUCAGCCAUACGGCGGUGAAUUCGGUCCGGGCCUUGUACACACCCGCCCGUCACACCUGAUUUGGACAGCUGGCCAUCUGCCCGAAUCGUUACCUAAACCGCAAGUGAGGGGGGUGCCGAAGGCAGGCUAGUGAAUGGAGUGAAGUCGUAACAAGGUAGCCGUACUGGAAGGUGGCGGUC
rnacentral:rRNA from 1 species